GCAAUGCGCUUGUCUGAAAAUAUUUGGUUUUGACCAGGUGGCGCAUGCAGCGAAACGUUUCUGCUAUUUAAUGUCUGAGAUAUAACUCCGAGACGUGAUUGAUGGGUCUGCACGGCUGCGCUCACAGCUUCUCGUUUUUUCACGAGUCGAAUGAGUGGACCGGUGAACGGUCCACUUUCCUCUGGAAACCUUUCCCGCAAAGGUCACAGCCGAAGGGCUUGAAGCCCGUGUGUUUCCUGCUGUGUGUGAUGAGGUUGGAGCUCUGACUGAAGGCCUUCCCGCACACCUGGCACUUGUGCGGCUUCUCACCUGCAAGCAGGAACAAAAAAAAUGGAAAAUAUGCUAAUGGGUGACUGGGACUCCCUGUGGCUCUGGAGGUGGUGGUGAUAAGACCCCUGAACCAGAUGUCUCAGCUCGGUUCCUGAGUAUGCCGACCAGGAGUACGGAAAGAUUGGCAUGUUCGAG